AGGCUGCCUCGAUGACUUGCAAGCAACUCACUUACUUUGGUGCCGAACUAUCCGAAUUUUUAAUUUAGUGAUGGAAAGUUUCUGGGUACAGUCAAGUACUUGUGAAGUCUGAGUGCGAGUCAAGAUGAGAUUUACUACUCUAAAUAAAAUUGAAGAUGAUGCAUCACUGUAUUUUAAUUUAGCAAAAUUUUAACCAAAGUAGUCUUAGUGAGGAGUCACAAAAUUUUUAAGGUUGAGACACAAUGUGGACCACU
rnacentral:lncRNA from 1 species